ACGAUCCAGCGAGUUAGUUCUAUGUCGUUGACUAAGCAAUUUUUGUUGCGGAGUCGUAGUGAAAGCGAGCCUGAAAGGGCGAAAUUAUAAUGGCAUGGACUAGACCCGAAGCCAGGCGAGCUAUUUAUGAGCAGGGUGAAUCCCGAGUAAUAUCUAAAGGAGGCCCGAACCCACCAGCCGUGCAACACUGGGGGAUGACUUGUGAAUAGAGGAGAAAUUCCAAUCGAGCUUGGCGAUAGCUGGUUCUUCCCGAAAUAGCUUGAGGGCUAGCGUCCUUUAAAUGAGAACAAGAGGUAGAGCUACUGAAUGAAGUCGCGCGGUUCGCCGUAGCUACUUCAACCAAACUCCGAAUUCUUGUUUUUCUUAUCUGGGCAGUCAGAAAUCCGGCGCUAAGGUCGGAUCUCAAAACGGAAAAAGCCGAGACCGUCAUCUAAGGUCCCAAAAUUUAUGUUAAGUGGUAAAGGAAGUGAAGUUUCUUAAACACCUAGAAGGUUGGCUUAGAAGCAGCCAUCCUUUAAAGAGUGCGUAACAGCUCACUAGUCUAGAAACUUCGCGCCGAAAAAUUCAACGGGGCUAAACAUAAAUACCGAAGAUACGGACUUUACAUCAAUUCGUUGAUGUGGAGUGGUAGGGAAGUGUUCUAUAUGCAGUGAAGCGAAAAGGCGUGAGCCAUCGUGGAGCGUAUAGAAGUAAGAAUGCUGAAAUUAGUAACCGCAAUGUGGGUGAGAUCCCCACACACCGAAAACCUAAGAGUUCCUGGGCAAUGACAAUCAUCCCAGGGUUAGUCGGACCUAAGGCAAGGCCGAAAGGCGUAGUCGAUGGACACAGGGUUAAUAUUCCCUGACUGUUUAAAGUUAUGAUAUGGGAGGACGUAGUUUAGUAUGAUUUGCCCCUUAUUGGAUUGGGGUAGGUGCACUGAGAACGUUUGGGAGGUAAAUCCCCCGGACACAAGUUCAAGGUGUGACUGGAAUCCCGCCUCGGCGGGAGAACAAAUCAAAGCAGACUACCAGGAAAAGUCUCUACUUUAUCUUUAAACAUCCGUAUCUCAAUCCGACACAGGUAGGUAGGGCGAGUAGCCCAAGGUGAACGGGAGAACCUUCGUUAAGGAACUCGGCAAAACAGCUAGACGUAAGUUCGCAAGAUGUCUCGCCUCGAGUUAAAUCGAGGCCGCAGCUAAAGAUUCCAACCAACUGUUUAUCAAAAACACAGGUCUCUGCAAACCCGUAAGGGGAAGUAUAGGGGCUGACGCCUGACCAGUGCUGGAACGUUAACGGGAGCGGUGCAAGCCAAUCCCUGAAGCGCCAGUGAACGUCGGCGAUAACUAUAAUCGUCCUAAGGUAGCGAAAUUCCUUGUCAGGUAAGUUCUGACCCGCAUGAAAGGCGUAAUGAGUUGGAAACUGUCUCAACGAAGAACCCGGUGAAAUUGCAAUGACGGUAAAGAUGCCGUCGACCUGCAGCAAGACGAAAG
rnacentral:rRNA from 1 species